UACGGGGGGGGCAAGCGUUGUUCGGAAUUACUGGGCGUAAAGGGUCCGUAGGUGGCUCGCUAAGUCAGACGUGAAAUCCCUCGGCUUAACCGGGGAACUGCGUCUGAUACUGGAUGGCUUGAGGUUGGGAGAGGGAUGCGGAAUUCCAGGUGUAGCGGUGAAAUGCGUAGAUAUCUGGAGGAACACCGGUGGCGAAGGCGGCAUCCUGGACCAAUUCUGACACUGAGGAGCGAAAGCCAGGGGAGCAAACGGG
rnacentral:rRNA from 1 species